UAAAUGAUGAAAAAUUAUUACUUGCUUCAAAGAAAAGAAUUCAAAACUUUAAAUUGCCAAAAUUCUAUAACACAUGAAAUUACAUCUCAAUUUAAACGAAAAUUCUACAACACUGCCAUGAAUUAAUAAAGCUCGAAUCUAAGGGGAAUUAUAAAUUACAUGCCUUGAUAAAUUGAAACUAACUGAUGAUGCAAUAACAAUGUCAACUGCUCAAUGACCAACUCAAGAUGUCAAUCUUUGGAUUUGAACCUGCACCAAAUGGAUUUCAAUCGGUUCCAAUGGUUAUUUAUUGACCUGGACAAAAGUAACCAUGGCAUUUAAUCAAAAAAAACAAGAAGCUAGCCUAAGACUUGAAAAAGGAGCUAAACAUGACAAAAAAAUCCCUUAUAAUUCAUAAAAAUGACCAAGAGACAAAAUCAAAUUCUUAACUAGAACAAUAGACAUAGCAUGACAAGAUCAUCAGCUCGCAGGCCUUCUUUCAACAACUUUUAAAAUUCUACCAUUGGCUUGUGGCCUGCCAAUCUAACCAACAAUGGUCAUAUCCGCAAAACUUUAACCAAAUUAUUAAUUAGUAGAUACUUUCCAUUUUUCAGAAUCUUAAAAAAAUCGACAUGCUCGAACCAACCUGUUUAUAGUCAAGAUUUUCCUACUAUGAAUUAAAACCAAAGGACAAUACUAAUAACAAUCAAACACAAUCAUGUUUCUAAAAGAAAGAGAAGAAGAAUAAAGCAUGAUAACAUGUUUCAAUCCAACUACUGAAUACUAAUAAACCAUUUCCAUUGUUUUCUUACUUCAACCACUACUCAAACUAAAAAAAUGAAUAGAACACAAUUAAAACAUAUUUGCAACUUUAAAUCAACUGAAAAUUCCAAAAUAAUGACAAGAAUGCACAAUCUAACUUCAUUCACACUCAAAUGUUUAAGGAAAUCAGAUUUUCAUUCAAAACAAAACUCUAACCAAGCAUAUAAUGUUCAGAAAAAAUACCUAGAAAAAAGGAAAAAUCAGCUUAAAGAAACAAGGAAAUUUUCAGUAGCUCAGCUCAACAAACAACAGCGAAUCAAACCUCAAAGCUUUGUUUCAAUCUCUGAAAAACUCCCAGCAAAACCCCAAAAAAUAGAAAGAAACUGAAAAACUUUCAUCUAAAUCUUUUGGAAAGAGCCGAUUUUCAACCAUUUGUGUUUUUCACCCUUUUUUUCGUGCCCUAAUGAUUGGAAAGAGGGUCUUUUAUAGAGGAAAUUUAGGGCAAUAAAAUCAGAUUUUCUUAAUUCAAAUACACCCUUUAAACUUUUACUUUAAAACACUUACACCCCUGCCCCAAAGAAUUUUUCCCCUCUUUUAUCUCUAAUAUGACCAUUGUCAGCUUCCUAGAAGCUUUCUAUAGACUUUCUUACACCUUAUCCAAUUUCAAAACCCCAGCAGCCCUGCUUUUUCGCCCUUUUUCUUUUUUUUUUCAUUGUUCUAUCGGUUUAAAACCAAUGGUACUGGACUUGGGCCAUUCUAUCUUUAGGCCCAGUAAUUCUUGGGCUUUCGCACCGAAGUUCCAAAACCAAAAACCAAACAACCUUAAAUAUAACUUAGAACAACAUUCAAUUAACCAAAACCUAACUGAGGCAUCUUUUAAGAAAAUAAUUAAAACUAAUUAACGAGCUAUUAAUCAUCGAUUAAUUCAUUAUGCCCUAAAAUAACUCUAAUUACUCUUAGACAUAAAAGAAAAAUAAAAAGAUUCCAGUAGAUGAAUGUGAAGGAAAAUGGGGAAGAAUUAUAC
rnacentral:lncRNA from 1 species